GAAAUGCGAUAAGUAAUGUGAAUUACAGAAUUCAGUGAAUCAUCGAAUCUUUGAACGCACAUUGCGCCCGCCAGCUCUCUGGCGGGCAUGCCUGUUCGAGCGUCAUUUCAACCCUCAGAACCCCUUGCGGGAUCUGGCGUUGGGGAUUGGCAUCCAGCCAGCCCCGAAAUCUAGUGGCGGUCCCUCCGCGACCUCCCCUGUGCAGUAGCGAUACCUCGCAGCGGGACAGCGGUCUGACCACGCCGUAAAACCCCCAACUUCUCAAGGUUGACCUCGAAUCAGGUAGGAAUACCCGCUGAACUUAAGC
rnacentral:misc_RNA from 1 species